rnacentral:rRNA from 1 species
CCUACGGGGGGCAGCAGUGGGGGAUAUUGCACAAUGGGGGGAACCCUGAUGCAGCGACGCCGCGUGGGUGAAGAAGCGCCUCGGCGCGUAAAGCCCUGUCAGCAGGGAAGAAAAUGACGGUACCUGAAGACGACGCCCCGGCUAACUACGUGCCAGCAGCCGCGGUCAUACGGAGGGGGCAAGCGUUAUCCGGAUUUACUGGGUGUAAAGGGGGCGCAGACGGGGAUGCAAGCCAGGAGUGAAGGCCCGGGGCCCAACCCCGGGACUGUGCUUGGCACUGCGGGGCUGGAGUGCAGGAGGGGAAGGCGGAAUUCCUGGUGGAGCGGUGAAAUGCGUAGAUAUCAGGAGGAACACCGGUGGCGAAGGCGGCCUGCUGGACUGCAACUGACGUUGAGGCCCGAAAGCGUGGGGAGCAAACAGGAUUAGAUACCCGAGUAGUC